UACAUAGGGGGCAAGCGUUGUCCGGAUUCAUUGGGCGUAAAGAGCGUGUAGGCGGCCAGGUAGGUCGGUUGUGAAAACUGGAGGCUCAACCUUCAGAGGUCGACCGAAACCAUCUGGCUAGAGUCCGGGAGAGGAGAUUGGAAUUCACGGUGUAGCAGUGAAAUGCGUAGAUAUCUGGAGGAACAUCAGUGGCGAAGGCGACACCCUGGACUCAUACUGACACUGAGGUGCGAAAGCGUGGGGAGCAAACAGG
rnacentral:rRNA from 1 species